AUUGAACGCUGGCGGCAGGCUUAACACAUGCAAGUCGAGCGGAGAUGAGGUGCUUGCACCUUAUCUUAGCGGCGGACGGGUGAGUAAUGCUUAGGAAUCUGCCUAUUAGUGGGGGACAACAUUCCGAAAGGAAUGCUAAUACCGCAUACGUCCUACGGGAGAAAGCAGGGGAUCUUCGGACCUUGCGCUAAUAGAUGAGCCUAAGUCGGAUUAGCUAGUUGGUGGGGUAAAGGCCUACCAAGGCGACGAGCUGUAGCGGGUCUGAGAGGAUGAUCCGCCACACUGGGACUGAGACACGGCCCAGACUCCUACGGGAGGCAGCAGUGGGGAAUAUUGGACAAUGGGGGAAACCCUGAUCCAGCCAUGCCGCGUGUGUGAAGAAGGCCUUAUGGUUGUAAAGCACUUUAAGCGAGGAGGAGGCUACUGAGACUAAUACUCUUGGAUAGUGGACGUUACUCGCAGAAUAAGCACCGGCUAACUCUGUGCCAGCCGCCGCUGUAACAC
rnacentral:rRNA from 1 species